rnacentral:lncRNA from 1 species
UUAGAUCUUCGUGUCCUCUAAAGUUUAAGAAGUUGAAAGAUGCAGAGAAGCUGUUGAGAAGAUUAAUAAAAGAAGCAGCGAAGAAGUUUAUUAAUGGAGAAGGUAAGUUCGGGACUCUGUUAACAAAGCUUCAAAUGAUCCAACAAUGGCAGUGGAAGAAAUGGAUAGUUCUUUUCUGAAAUUCACUAUGAAAAAUAAGAGGAAAAAAGUAUCGUAAUCAUCAUCAAAACUUACCACAGCUUCAUUCAAGUUUUUCGUCUACAAGUUUCAGACUAAUAAACCUAAAACCCUC